GAUGAACGCUAGCGGCAGGCCUAACACAUGCAAGUCGAACGGUAACAUAGAUUGCUUGCAAUCUGAUGACGAGUGGCGAACGGGUGCGUAACGCGUAUGCAACCUACCCUUAACAGGAGGAUACCCCAGAGAAAUUUGGAAUAAUACUCCAUAGUACAACGAAUUCGCAUGUUUUUGUUGUUAAAACUACGGUGGUUAAGGAUGGGCAUGCGUGACAUUAGUUAGUUGGUGAGGUAACGGCUCACCAAGACUACGAUGUCUAGGGGUUCUGAGAGGAUGAUCCCCCACACUGGUACUGAGACACGGACCAGACUCCUACGGGAGGCAGCAGUGAGGAAUAUUGGUCAAUGGACGGAAGUCUGAACCAGCCAUGCCGCGUGAAGGAUGACUGCCCUACGGGUUGUAAACUUCUUUUAUGUAGGAAGAAACCCUCUCUCGUGAGAGAGGCUGACGGUACUACACGAAUAAGCACCGGCUAACUCCG
rnacentral:rRNA from 1 species